GAAAUGCGAUAAGUAGUGUGAAUUGCAGAAUUCAGUGAAUCAUCGAAUCUUUGAACGCACAUUGCGCCCUAUGGUAUUCCGUAGGGCAUGCCUGUUCGAGCGUCAUUUACACCUUCAAGCCUUGCUUGGUGUUGGGUGACUGUGGCCCCUUUGGGGCCACUCGCCUUAAAGUCAUUGGCGGCCGGUUCGUUGGCUUUGUAGCGCAGCACAAUUGCGUCCUCGACGCCGCUGGACCAGCUCCCAGAAGCUAAUUUUAAAUGUUUGACCUCGAAUCAGGUAGGGAUACCCGCUGAACUUAAGC
rnacentral:misc_RNA from 1 species